AGCAGCCGCGGUAAUUCCAGCUCCAAUAGCGUAUAUUAAAGUUGUUGCAGUUAAAAAGCUCGUAGUUGAAUUUCGGGAUCAAUAUAUCGGUCGUGCCUUGGUACGUACUGGUAUCAUUGGUUUCUCCUUUCUGACGAACCAUGAUGUCAUUAAUUUGGUGUUAUGGGAAGUUAGGACUGUUACUUUGAAAAAUUAGAGUGUUUAAAGCAGGCUUUGGCUUGAAUACAUUAGCAUGGAAUAAUGAAAUAGGACGUUCGAACCUAUUUUGUUGGUUUCUAGGAUCAACGUAAUGAUUAAUAGGGAUAGUUGGGGGCAUUAGUAUUCAAUUGUCAGAGGUGAAAUUCUUGGAUUUAUUGAAGACUAACUACUGCGAAAGCAUUUGCCAAGGAUGUUUUCAUUAAUCAAGAACGAAAGUUAGGGGAUCGAAGACGAUCAGAUACCGUCGUAGUCUUAACCAUAAACUAUGCCGACUAGGG
rnacentral:misc_RNA from 1 species